rnacentral:rRNA from 1 species
GAAGAUGAGUGGCGAACGGGUGAGUAAUACAUAGGUAACCUGCCCCUGUGCGGGGGAUAACAGGAGGAAACUCCUGCUAAUACCGCAUAGCCAUGAGCACCGCAUGGAGCUCAUGCCAAAUAUCCUUCAGGGGAUAGCGCAGGGAUGGACCUAUGGCGCAUUAGCUAGUUGGCGGGGCAACGGCCCACCAAGGCAACGAUGCGUAGCCGGCCUGAGAGGGCGGACGGCCACAUUGGGACUGAGACACGGCCCAGACUCCUACGGGAGGCAGCAGUAGGGAAUUUUCGGCAAUGGGGGAAACCCUGACCGAGCAACGCCGCGUGAGCGAAGAAGGCCUUCGGGUCGUAAAGCUCUGUUGUAAAGGAAGAACGUCGGACACAGGAAAUGGUGUGCGAGUGACGGUACUUUACCAGAAAGCCACGGCUAACUACGUGCCAGCAGCCGCGGUAAUACGUAGGUGGCGAGCGUUAUCCGGAAUCAUUGGGCGUAAAGAGGGAGCAGGCGGCCGCAAGGGUCUGUGGUGAAAGACCGAAGCUAAACUUCGGUAAGCCAUGGAAACCGGGCGGCUAGAGUGCGGAAGAGGAUCGUGGAACUCCAUGUGUAGCGGUG